rnacentral:lncRNA from 1 species
AGGAGCAGCUGUGGCGGCGCGGUAGGAGCCCCACAGCGUCAGGGCGGGGAGGGCGCUUGGAGAUCCCCCGGGUCGGCCCCCUCCGCACCCCGAUCGACUGAGGCCCGGAGAGUUCAGGAACCGGCUCGGGAGACCUCAGCGCCCGAACUCGGAGUUUUCGGACUUUUCAGGCCUCUGCCAAGGGCUUGGACUCGCAGGUGAAAGGACGGGCUCAUCUCACUUUUUUGUCCUGAGAGGAGCUACCAGUGAAUCUGGUGCCAAGGCAAGAGAGGAAAAGUCGAUUUCUUAUCUUUCUGAGACUGGCGGUGGCCCUUGCCAAUUCAAGAUGGUGGAAAGCUGCACUUGAAGUCCAACUCUGUCCUGGGGGAAUAAUUAUGUUCCCUGUCUUGGGAGCCUUUCUUCAGGGAGCUUGAUGGUUCCAACCCACCCAGGAGCCUGGGACAUCUGUGCCCCUGGGCAAUCCCCUGCAGUUUCCUGAUUCCAAGAUGAGGGGGUAGAAUCCGAAGAUCUCCAAGGCCUUGAUGAGUGCUACCAGUCUGCAAAUUCCCAAGCCAAGUUCUUCAAUGAAUCAAAUUUCCUCCAGUAGCCAUUUCUACCAAAGGAGCAACUGUUUUUCCUUCCCACUGACAUGGCUAUGUAUUCGAACUGGAUAUAGGUGAGAGGCAUUUUUGUCCUAGCUUCUCGGGCCCCUCCAAGGAGCUCCAAGAGGCUUAAGGAUCCCAGCCAUGUUGGGAUAAAAAUACCCAAUCAAUCAAUAAACAUUUUAUUUAAAAAUGAUUUAUUUAAAAAAUCACACAAUUUGAGAGCAAAUACAGAAGAUAUGAAUUAGCAAAACGAACAAAAUUAAAAUCUCAUACAAUCGCAGGACACUGGGACCUGAAGUCUUGGAGAGGAUGUAAUCACUAAGUCAUCCCAAGGAAGAGUGGGAUGCCUACAAGAGAGGGAUGCCUACAAGAGAGGGAUGCCUAAAUUGGUUACCCCUAAGCCCACCGACUUUUAAGGCAUGUGUAAGUGAGUGGGAACCUGCAAAAAGACUGGAAGGAGCAGCCAGAGAGGUAGGAAGAAAACCAGGAGUGCCUGUUGUCACGGAAGCUGAGGGCAAGGAGGACAGUGGUUGGGAGAAUCUGAUGCAGCAGCUCCAAGGACCAUGGCCCCAGGAACUAGGCACAAGUGACAGGAGACACUUGCUAUGUCUAAACCCAGUGCACCCUCAGCCCGGCCUCGCCUUUUCAAGGACGGCUAGCACAGGCCAUCAUCCUGGCCCACGAUGAAGGUGAGCAUCAAACUCCAAUUUCUGAAGAGGAAACUGAAGACCAGAGAGGGGAGGUAAACAUCCCAAAGUCACCAGCAAGUCAGUGGGAGACACAACUUUAACCCUAGUUUUGACUGGCAGUCUGUGGGCAUCGAGGCCACCAUUCCAUGUACCUAAUGUGUGUCUGGCAGUGUUCCAGGCCUCACCUGCAUCAUUUCUAAUCCUCUCAACCAGAGGAUCAGAGAGGUGGCGUUUUUACCCCUAGUACACAGAGGAGGCGCUUGGGGUUCAGAGGCACGUGUGGAACUAGACCGACGCCACUCACCCCAGCAGGUGGCCAAGCGGGAUGGGAGCGCGGGUCUCCCCAUCCCCAGCGGUGACGGGCGGCGGCUCUUUCCUG